ACUUUAAUACCAUUGGAAGAUUGC
rnacentral:miRNA from 1 species